rnacentral:rRNA from 1 species
UACAGAGGUCCCAAGCGUUGUUCGGAUUCACUGGGCGUAAAGGGUGCGUAGGCGGUCGGGUAAGUCUGAUGUGAAAUCUCACAGCUUAACUGUGAAACUGCAUUGGAUACUAUUCGGCUUGAGAGUUGGAGGGGGGACUGGAAUUCUCGGUGUAGCAGUGAAAUGCGUAGAGAUCGAGAGGAACACUAGUGGCGAAGGCUGGGCUCUGGACAGUAUCUGACGCUGAGGCACGAAGGUCAGGGGAGCAAACGGG